ensembl:lncRNA
AGGGGAAACUCACUUCUGAGCAGCCAACUGCCCUCCUUUCCCUGACUGGCUGGCACCUCCUGCCAGCUUAACCUCCCAAGCUUUGACCACAAACACCCCCCCCCCAUUUUUUAGCCUGUCUUGCAGGACUUGCAUAUUGUGGAUCAUUCUUUGAAAAAUAUGGUUAUUAUUCCUUUUUUUUUUUAAUUUGAGACAGUUUCAUUCUUGUUGCCCAGGCUGGAGUGCAAUGGCACAAUCUCGGCUCACCAUAACCUCCGCCUCCCAGGUUCAAGCGAUUCUCCUCUCUUAGCCUCCCGAGCAGCUGAAACUACAGGCAUGUGCCACCACGCCUGGCUAAUUUUGUAUUUUUAGUAGAGAUGGGGUUUCUCCAUGUUGGUCAGGCUGGUCUCAAACUCCCGACUUCAGGUGAUCUGCCUGCCUCGGCCUCCCAAAGUGCUGGGAUUACAGGUGUGAGCCACUGUACCUGGCCUAGUUAUCAUUAUUCUAAUGGCCAGAUAGAAGGCAGUGUUUUACAUACUGAAUAGCUAUGCAUACACUGGGCAGGGGAGAUCCAUAUCCUCCUGCUACCACAGCCUCUCCACAGUGGGUUUUUCAGGAGAAAUGCAGGAGAAAGCUCCAGGCAGUACCAUUCCUUAGCUGGAAGGAACUCCAGCUCUUCACAUCACUGUUGUGGAAGCUGGACCCAGAGUGGGGAGGCAGCGUCCCAAGAUCACAUGGCGAGUUAGUCAUCAGCGAAAAUCAUAUUUUCCUCCUUGCACACCACACCCUCUCUUUUUUUCCAGGCAAAUUCCAGAUUCCUUGGGAAGAAUGACAAUGCUACAGAAAAGCACAUGGAUUUGCAGCUUCGUGGACGUCCCCUAUGAGUGUGACACGUCUUUACUCCCAAUGGAGGAAAGUGAAGCCAGGCUUACUGAGAAAAAAAACAACCUCAGAAAUCAAAAUCAGACAGUUAUGCUUGAUCUGGCUGCCCCGGAGCGGGAAGACCCGAUCAUUGGCAGUGCUGGCCACUGUGCUGACCAGCCUGAUGUCACGAAGAGAAGUGAUUUUCCAAUCCUGCAUCCGGUACAGCUGUGUGGACUCUGCUCGUCCUGCCAUUCCACCAAGAAAUUAAAAAGCAAUAUUCCUUUGAAGUUCUGGGGUUUUUUUUGUUUUUUGUUUCUUUCAUUUAAGAUUACACUUUGAGGUCAGAAAAUGAGACAUAAGGAAUUCACAAACAUGCACACAUUUGAUUUGGAAAUAUUCCACCCUCCGCAUCCCCAUUUUAAACUGUCCUGAGGCCCAGAUGGUUUACAGAUUGAGCUGGCUUAGGCCGGCAAGCAUUUCGGGGAGCUGGUUGACCACGUUUUUUGAAACAGAGGUAUUUUAUCCAUUAAGCUGAUCAACACUGGGGAGAAUGGGGCACCCUAAUGGUCUUUAAGUAAUAUCUUGUGAAGCUAUUUUAAAAAUAGCAGCAGAACAAAAUACACCCGGGAAUCAAGCAUGUAAAUCAAUAAAAGUUUGUGUUUCAACUUGCAAUAUUGUUAGCAGUCUUGUUUAUUCAAGGCAGUGUUGAUUUUUAUGAUUUUUA